rnacentral:rRNA from 1 species
UACGUAGGGUGCAAGCGUUAAUCGGAAUUACUGGGCGUAAAGCGUGCGCAGGCGGUUAUAUAAGACAGUUGUGAAAUCCCCGGGCUCAACCUGGGAACUGCAUCUGUGACUGUAUAGCUAGAGUACGGUAGAGGGGGAUGGAAUUCCGCGUGUAGCAGUGAAAUGCGUAGAUAUGCGGAGGAACACCGAUGGCGAAGGCAAUUCCCUGGACCUGUACUGACGCUCAUGCACGAAAGCGUGGGGAGCAAACAGG